UACAGAGGUGGCAAUCGUUGUUCGGAAUUACUGGGCGUAAAGGUCGAGUAGGUGGCCAUCUAAGUCAGACGUGAAAUCCCCGGGCUUAACCUGGGAACUGCAUUUGUGACUGCAUGGCUAGAGUGCGGCAGAGGGGAAUGGAAUUCCGCGUGUAGCAGUGAAAUGCGUAGAUAUGCGGAGGAACACCGAUGGCGAAGGCAAUCCCCUGGGCCUGCACUGACGCUCAUGCACGAAAGCGUGGGGAGCAAACAGG
rnacentral:rRNA from 1 species